rnacentral:lncRNA from 1 species
GGGUGUGAGCCUUUUUUGGGAGAGGGUCUUUUGGCGUGUGCAUCCUAAGAUUUCGAUCUAGGGUUUCGCGAAGAGAGAAAAGUGAGAAGAGUAUCUUCUCUUCACCUUGUUCCACCACAUCCUCCUCAUAAAUAUCCAUCUUCAUCCUUGAAAGAGUCCAAGUGAUUCGAAGAAGAAACGUGAUCAACCAUCAAUAGGAUCUCUGCGCAAGUUAGCACUCUCGAGAGAUUGAUCAGGUUCAGGGCUUCAUGUGGAUGUCCUGUAG